AACAAAUUUUAUUUAGGCUAAUGCUGCAUACAUUUGUAAUGAAUUGUGCACAUUAAAGACAUUAGGUAACUUACUUCACGAAAAUCCACUCUAUAUUGAAUUAUUCAGGAUCUGUGAAUUCAAGUGAAGGCCCUGCAUUCAUGUAUGAAUUCUGUUGUGGAAAUCUCAUUUUGAAUGACUGGUUUUUAAAUAAUUUCAUUCGUUUUAUCAGGUGCGGCUGGAAUCCCUGUUGCAGCUCAGGCUGCCAUAGGUGCCAUAGGUGCCACUGUGGGUGCAGCUGUGGGUGGACCAUUGAUAUGCAGUGCAGGAGCCACAGGUGCUGUCGCAAGCGGAGGCAUCGUGGGAACUGCCGUGAGCUCAGUUGCCAGGUUAAUCGGCAACUGCACUGCGUAAAUGCCCCAAAAGGCCCUUCAGAAAAUGGGCAAUUGGUUUUACAGCAAGACCAGCAUACAAAAAAGACAAUUUACAAUACAUAAAAAAGUACAUUAAAAAAAACACAGGACCACACAAGACAAAACAACUACCUGCUUCCACCUAUACUUCCACCCACAUGCCCAAAUUUAGCAAAGAGAUAGAAGUAGGAAUAAAUGAAUGUUUGUACCUGUUACUCCUAACAGAAGGAAAUCUUAACCGAGAUCCUGAGGGUAAAAACAAACUCAAAGUAGAGAGGAUGGGAAGUAACCAUUAAGAUGGAUUGUGCUUUUCUAACUACCUGGCGAUUAUGUAGGUCGGUAGGAUGACUCUGCUGAACUCCUAAAAUCUUACUGCUAGUGUUAACAAUUUUCACCAGUGCAGUCUUUGCCUUAGACUGCCAUACCAGCAUAACAUAGCAAAUGCUAAAACAGACUCAAUAUAAGAGUCAUCAGGAAUCUAUUAACGUAAAAUUUGGACAGUCUCCAUAGACAGACGUUGCAGGCCCCUUUUACAAAUCUUCUCCACAUUGACAUUCAAAUUCAGCUUGUUAUCAAUCACACAUCCCAAAUACUUAUAUGAUUCCACAAACUCAACCUCCUGAUCUUUAAUAGUGGUUCUCUUUAUACCACUUUGAUUACGCCUAAAAUCAAUAUGCAUGUCUUUAGUUUUUAACACAUUUAUUUGCAGGAAUGCAUUAUCACACCACUGAACAAAAUCAUCUACCACGAGGCCAUGGUCAUUUUCAUCCGCAUGGAGGAGGCUGACAAUAGCUGAAUCAUCUGCAUAUUUUACAAUAAAUCUAUUCUCAUGCCUACUCCUGCGAUCGUCAGUGUAUAAAAUAUACAGGAGUGGAGAAAGCACACAUCCCUGAGGGGACCCUGUGGAUGAAGACAGUACCUCAGACAAACACCCAUUUACCCUUACUCUCUGAAUUGGAUCAGUUAGAAGGUCAAGGAUUCAACCAAUGAUACAAAAAUCAAAACCAAAGCUCAAAAGUUAAUUUCUCUACUAAAAUGUGAGGUUGAAUCAUAUUAAAAGCAGAUGAGAAAUCAACAAAUAAAAUUCUAGCAUUAGUCUUAGUUCCCUCUAAAUGCUUAAGUACCAAAUUCAACAAGGUGGCCGUAGCAUCCUCUACCCUACACCUGGCCCUAUAAGCAAACUGAAGAGGAUCGAGAGAAUCUUCUACCAUUGUAAGGAGCUCUUUUUUUCAACAAUCUCUCAAAACGUUUCAUUACUAAAGAGGUCAGCGCAACUGACCUAAAAUCUUUUAGUUCUACUGGAUGAUUAUUUUUAGCCACUGGGAUGACUGUAGAGGAUUUCCAUAAUCUCGGCACCUUCUGUUGAAUAAGGGACAGUUGAAAAAUAAAAUAAUAAAUAGUUCCCAAUUGCUCUGCACAGGAGAUAAGCAGCCAACCUUCAAUAUUAUCAGGGCCCAAGCUUUUCCCAGC
rnacentral:lncRNA from 1 species